AUUGAACGCUGGCGGCAGGCCUAACACAUGCAAGUCGAACGGUAACAGGAAGAAGCUUGCUUCUUUGCUGACGAGUGGCGGACGGGUGAGUAAUGUCUGGGAAACUGCCUGAUGUAGGGGGAUAACUACUGGAAACGGUAGCUAAUACCGCAUAACGUCGCAAGACCAAAGAGGGGGACCUUCGGGCCUCUUGCCAUCGGAUGUGCCCAGAUGGGAUUAGCUAGUAGGUGGGGUAACGGCUCACCUAGGCGACGAUCCCUAGCUGGUCUGAGAGGAUGACCAGCCACACUGGAACUGAGACACGGUCCAGACUCCUACGGGAGGCAGCAGUGGGGAAUAUUGCACAAUGGGCGCAAGCCUGAUGCAGCCAUGCCGCGUGUAUGAAGAAGGCCUUCGGGUUGUAAAGUACUUUCAGCGGGGAGGAAGAGAGUAAAGUUAAUACCUUUACUCAUUGACGGUACCCGCAGAAGAAGCACCGGCUAACUCCGUG
rnacentral:rRNA from 1 species